GUAGUGACACUAUUUUGCAGGUCUGCGCACUGCUGAAACACGGCGCAAAGCGAGAGUACGAUGCCGAAUCAAUGGUCCCAUACCUCCACGAAGGAAAACUCUGGGUUAGCUACGACGACCAGGAAAGCGUGGCACUCAAGACAAAGUGGAUUCUUCGCAAUGGAUAUGGAGGUACCAUGACCUUCAGCCUGAGCUCCGAUGACUGGGCUGGGAAAUGUGGCAAUGGGUCCUUCCCACUCCAGAGAGUCAUUGCUCACCUAGGCACUGGGAACAACUCCGUGCAUCUGGAUCAAGAUUCUCUAAAGCUCUAACACCACAAGAGUUUUCUUGCAGCUGAAUACAAUACAUAUGUAUAAGCACGAGCUUCUGAUCGGCCGAGUGGCUUUCUUUUUCGGCUGGCGUUCGAGUGAGACAAAAGAACCAUGUAAAUUAUUUGGAGCCAUACUUCGCAUUUUUAUGACUGUGCAAUAAGAAAUUUUAAGAACCGUAGGCUACCUACAACGCCUUCAACUGUUCGCAAUUUAUCAGAAAAGCGUUAGCUAUGCUGCCAAAUCUGUCGGUGAAAUAAAUUGCUGAAUUAUGUGUAAUUUGUCCGCGAUUAACAGAGUGUACAAAACGUAAUAUUCAAGCACUCUACUUGUGUGGCAAAUAUUUGCGAAGCUGCCUCUUUACACCUAUUUUUUGUUGUUAUUUUAAACACAAUAAAGGAAAAGAGAACUUAUGUACUUGCUGA